rnacentral:rRNA from 1 species
GACGAACGCUGGCGGCGUGCUUGACACAUGCAAGUCGAACGGUGAAGGGACCAGCUUGCUGGUUCUGGAUGAGUGGCGAACGGGUGAGUAACACGUGAGUAACCUGCCCCCUUCUUCUGGAUAACCGCAUGAAAGUGUGGCUAAUACGGGAUAUUCUGGGUCUGUCGCAUGGCGGGCCCGGGAAAGAUAUUGCUUCGGUGGGGGAUGGGCUCGCGGCCUAUCAGCUUGUUGGUGGGGUGAUGGCCUACCAAGGCGGUGACGGGUAGCCGGCCUGAGAGGGUGGACGGUCACACUGGGACUGAGACACGGCCCAGACUCCUACGGGAGGCAGCAGUGGGGAAUAUUGCACAAUGGGCGCAAGCCUGAUGCAGCGACGCCGCGUGAGGGAUGGAGGCCUUCGGGUUGUAAACCUCUUUCGCCAGUGAAGCAGGCCUGCUCCUUGUGGGUGGGUUGACGGUAGCUGGAUAAGAAGCGCCGGCUAACUACGUG